CCAGAUCUGUCACCCCCCCCCGCCGAGCCCCACCCGGGGGUCCCUGUGGUGGCUCCUGCACCGGACCAGCCUCGUGCACCCCGAGGUGGAGUUUCAUUUCUGUGCCAGCAUCGAUGGCAAUGUCACAUCCAGAACCCUCAGCCCGGAGCCCCCCUGGGCAAAGGCGGGAGUGAGGCUGAGGGUGCAGAGCCAGCACUUCACUGGGU